rnacentral:lncRNA from 1 species
GGUACCCACCACCAUGCAACCUCCGCCUCCUGGGUUCAGGUGAUUCUCCUGCCUCAGCGUCCCGAGUAACUGGGAUUACGGGAACCCACCACCAUGCCUGGCUAAUUUUUGUAUUUUUAGUAGAGACGGGGUUUCACCAUGUUGGCCAGGCUGGUCUCGAACUCCUGACUUCAGGUGAUAUCCUUUCAUCCUAUUAAACGGAAUCACCAUGUGACCUAGCAAAUCCACUCCUAAGGCAUAUAUCCCCCAAAACCAAAAACAGCUACUCAAAUGGAUACAAGAAAGAAGCCAGACACAAAGGGCACAUACUUUAUUAAUUAUAUUGACACAACAUGUCCAUGACAGGCAAAUCCAUAUGAUAGUAAGUAAAUUAGCAGAUGCCAAGUUGGGUGGAAUGGGAAGUAGGAAGUGGCUGCUAGUGGAUUCAGGGUUUCUUGUAAGCGUGAUAAGAAUGCUGUGGAAUUAGAUAGUGGUAAUGGCUGGACAACUUUCUGAAUACAGACUAUCCCUGACUUAAGAUAAUUCAACCUAACAAUUUUUUUUAGCUUAUGAUGGUGCAAAAGCCAUAUGCAUUCAGUAGAAAUUGUACUUCAAAUUUUGAUUCAAAAUUCAUUAUCAACAUUAUAAAACUGGCUUUGCGUUACAUUAUUUUGUCCAAUUGUAAGCUAAUAUAAGUGUCCCGAGCAUGUUUAAGGUAGGCUAGGCUAAGAAAGAUGUUUGGUAAGUUAGGUGUUAUUAAAUGCAUUCCAACUUAACAAUAUUUUCGACUCACAAUGGCUUUCAGGACAUAAUUCUAUUGUAAGUCAAGGAGCAUCUGUACACACACAAAAAAUGGGAUUGUAUACUUUAAAGAUGAAUUUUAUCAUAUGUGAAUUAUAUGUCAAUACAAUCAAUAGAUAAAUGUAUACAUGCAUAUAGACAAGCAUGCAUCUAUACAACGGACCAUAGAACUAAAUGGAAAACCUAAAACUACCAAACAUCUAGAAGAGAACAGGGGAAAAUCUUCACAGCUUUGAGGUGGUAAUAAUUUCUCAGGUAAGACACAAAAAAAAGUAUAAAUCGGCCGGGCGCGGUGGCUCACGCCUGUAAUCCCAGCACUUUGGGAGGCUGAGGCAGACAGAUCACAAGGUCAGGAGAUCGAGACCAUCCUGGCUAACACGGUGAAACCCUGUCUCUAGUAAAAAUACAAAAAAUUAGCCGGGCGUGGUGGCGGGCACCUGUAGUCCCAGCUACUCGGGAGGCUGAGGCAGGAGAAUGGUGUGAAACUGGGAAGUGGAGCUUGCAGUGAGCUGAGAUGGCACCACUGCACUCCAGCCUGGGCGACAAGAGUGAGACUCCAUCUCAAAAAAAUAAAAAUAAAAAUAAAGAAAGAAAAGAAUACAAAACAUAAAAAGAAAAAUUGAUGAAGCAGACUUCAUCAAAAUUAAAAACUUCUGUUCUUUUGAAGCCAUUAUUAAGAAAUGAGAAGACAAGAUUGGGAGAAAAUAUCUGCAAAACACUUAUCCGAUAAAGAACUAGUAUACCCAACACAGAUUAAAAAGUUAUGACUAGAUCAUAAGAAAACAACCCAAUUUUAAAAAAUGGACAGAUUUGGAAAGUCACUUUACCAAAGAAGAUAUACAGAUGGCAAAUUAAGCACAGAGAAAGCUGCUCAAUAUCAUCAGUAAGUCAUGAAAACUAUGUACUAGGAAUUAAACUCAUUAGGAAUUAAAACUACAAAGUCUAACCUUUUAAAAUCACUAAAAACAAAACCAAACAAAACUUAUGAGACUUAAGUGUUGGUGAGGAUGCAAAGCAUUUGCAACUCUCAUACAUUGCUAGUGGAAAUGAAAAAUGGUACAGCCACUUUGGAAAACAGUUUGGCAGUUUCUUAUACAGUUAAACAUACAUUUACCAUACCAUAUGACCCAACAAUCUCAUCCCUAGGUGUUUAUCCCUCCAAAAUGAAAAUAUAUUUGUCUAGACAAAAUCCUGUAUGCAAACGUUUCUAUCAGCUUUAUUCAUAAUUGCCAAAAACUGGAUACAACCCAGAUGUCCAUCAGCCAGUGAAUGGACAUAAUGGACAUUAUGCUAAAAUCAAAGAAUCCAGACUGAAAAGGCUACUUAGUGUAUGAUUCUACUUAUAUGACAGUCUGAAAAAGACACAACUGUCAGAAAAUAGAUCAGUGGUAUGCCAGGGUUUGGCAAUAAGGAGGAGGACUGACAAAUGAACAUGAAGGAACUUUUUGGAGUGACUGUGAUUAUAUGGCCGUAUACAUUUGUCAGCCAUAUAAUACUGUACACAUAAAAAGGGUGAAUUUUACUAUAUAUAAAUUAUAUCUCAGCAAACCUGACUAAACAAAUUGUAUCUUCAAGGCCAAUACAGUAGGAUAAAGCUAAAAUAACUAUAAUAGUGUGAGAACAGCUGGACACAGUGGCUCAUGCCUGUAAUCCCAGCACUUUGGAAGGACAAGUGGUAGGACUGCUUGAGUCCAGGA